GCAGGAUGUAUCGCUGUCAGCCUGACAUGUAGCAGUCUGCAGUCUUGUGACCCGCCAGAUUGGAAGGACGGAUACAUCAACACUCAACUCUUCUUUACUCUCCUGAAUUUAUCAUUUUACUUCACCUCUCGGAGUGUUGGCGAUGGUGGUGGCGGCAGUGACGGGCCCAGUGAUCCUGCCCAUCAAGCUCCUCAUGGAUGGUUUGAGCGGUUGAGGGGUGUUUUUAGAGGGAGCGGGACGGGGGAGCCAGCAGGAAGAAGAGGCGAGGGAUACGAGACGGACGGCACGGGCAGAGAGCACGAGUGUUGGCGAUGGUGGUGGCGGCAGUGACGGGCCCAGUGAUCCUGCCCAUCAAGCUCCUCAUGGAUGGUUUGGAGUGUUGGAGGCAGCGAUGUGCCCAAUGAUACUGCUCAUCAAACUCUUAAGUCUCUGCUUGUUUUGGUCAAUCUGCAAUAGUGAACGGUGUUUUUAUGGUGAAGAUGUGCAGCCCAACCACAGGCUAACAUAACCCACCCACAGUCUGUCACCGCUUAUCACAACCCACCAACAGCCAAUAAAAAUCCUAGCUGAGGGGUGACCAGCUGGCUGAGUCAAGUGGAGGCCUGCGAGGGGCCUUCGUCACAACCAAUCACAGAACGUUCGGCAUCGAUGUGACAUUUGGGGCGGUUCUGCCGCAGCAUGCUGCGGUGGUGGGCGGCAGCCACGCGGCACCGCGCGGCAAAACCACCCAGUGUGACACCUCCAAUUGGUUUGUGUGUGUUAUCGUAAAAGCGGCGAAACCGCUUGGCAAAACCACCUAGUGUGACACCGGCCUAAGGAUUAAUAGGAUAUUCGAUGGUCUGUAGGUGGAUGUAUACCAUGAGAAAAUCAUAGAAUCCUGCUCAAUCAACCUCCAUGGUUUGGUAUCAGUGAUGUCAUAAAUUUCUCUAAUUUGUAAUAAUACUGUUUAUCUUGUCUCAUAGUAAACACAUUUAGUAGAUAAUUUGUGGCGCCACAUUUGGUAGUCAAUAUUGCAACCUGCCAGAACAAAGUGUAAGCAUCAUCUGUAUGAGUUCUGAUACAUGUCUCACUGUCUCAGUCUGCACCAAGCUGAUAUCUGAUAUUAUUUUUAUAGUUUUAAUGUAUUUUUUUAGGUUUACAGAGUUUGACCUUUGUUGCAUCCAGAUUUGUCACACUUAACCUUUGCAGUAUAUCAUAAUUAAUAAUGCAUUUGAUUAUAGAUAAUUUUAACAUUAUUAAUAUAGAUAAUAAUAGUUACUGUUGAGAUUAGGUAAUUUUGUUAUAAUAUUUAAAAACUAGGAAUUAGAGUAUAUGGCAGGCUUGGAGCCUGGUGGUAGUGUAGUCCGUUCAAUAGGCGCACCUAACAUCAUCAAAUGUGGGGCACAAACUUGGCGGAGGGACUGUUUUUGUGCCGCCAUAGGCGAUAGUGAGCUAAAGAGUAGCCUAUCCGGAUUUUUUGUUUUUAAUUAUUAAUGAUCCACGAGACAUCUAGAGUUAAAUCUAACUAUGUGCUUUUCUUUGUAUUCAUUCAUACACACACUGGUAAUAUUUCUGUGGUGUUUGAUUCACUUAAUUGAAUGAAAUUCUAUUGUGAUAAACACUCACAAAUUCGUGCCACUAUAGUUUAUCGACUCAG